UCAACCUUGUGCUAUUUGCUGAAUCGUCUCUUGGCAAUUCCCUCCAUUCAUUAGAGGGAGCAAAAAUGUGGCUAAACCUUGUGUCCUUACUAGUACUCCUCAAUGGGGUCCAAUCUCAAGUGCAGCUGGUGGAGUCUGGAGGAGAUGUGAGAAGACCUGGAGAGUCCCUCCGUCUCUCCUGCCAAGCCUCUGGAUUCACCUUCAGCAGCUAUGGGAUGAACUGGGUGAGACAGGCUCCUGGAAAAGGACUGGAAUGGAUUGCACAUAUCUAUACUGAUUCCAGUCGAACGUUCUACUCAGACAAAGUCAAGGGCCGCUUCACCAUCUCCAGGGACAAUGCCAAAAGCCAGCUGUAUCUGCAAAUGAACAGCCUCAAAGCUGAAGACACGGCAAUUUAUUUCUGUGUU